GGAAGCUGCUCUCUCAGAACAACGGAAAAUAUCUCAAUGACUUGACAUGUUCUGGCUGUGAAUUCAGGCUACAAGGGGUCAGUUCUCUAAAAUGAGUCUCUCUGGGGAACAUGACACCAAAUCUAAGAGUCUAAUCAAACAGGAGAGACCAGCCUCCCG